rnacentral:tRNA from 1 species
AAUUAUUUAUAUUAUACUUUGAAAGUAUACACAAAGAGUUUCUCUAAUAAUUA